GAUGAAGAACGUAGCGAAAUGCGAUAAGUAAUGUGAAUUGCAGAAUUCAGUGAAUCAUCGAAUCUUUGAACGCACAUUGCGCCCCCUGGUAUUCCGGGGGGCAUGCCUGUACGAGCGUCAUUACAACCCUCAAGCUCAGCUUGGUGUUGGGCCCCGCCGCCCCGGCGGGCCCUAAAGUCAGUGGCGGUGCCGUCCGGCUCCGAGCGUAGUAAUUCUUCUCGCUCUGGAGGUCCGGUCGUGUGCUCGCCAGCAACCCCCAAUUUUUUUCAGGUUGACCUCGGAUCAGGUAGGGAUACCCGCUGAACUUAAGCAUAUCAAUAAGCGGAGGA
rnacentral:misc_RNA from 1 species